rnacentral:rRNA from 1 species
AUUGAACGCUGGCGGCAUGCUUUACACAUGCAAGUCGGACGGCAGCACAGAGAAGCUUGCUUCUUGGGUGGCGAGUGGCGAACGGGUGAGUAAUAUAUCGGAACGUACCGAGUAAUGGGGGAUAACUAAUCGAAAGAUUAGCUAAUACCGCAUAUUCUCUGAGGAGGAAAGCAGGGGACCUUCGGGCCUUGCGUUAUUCGAGCGGCCGAUAUCUGAUUAGCUAGUUGGUGGGGUAAAGGCCUACCAAGGCGACGAUCAGUAGCGGGUCUGAGAGGAUGAUCCGCCACACUGGGACUGAGACACGGCCCAGACUCCUACGGGAGGCAGCAGUGGGGAAUUUUGGACAAUGGGCGCAAGCCUGAUCCAGCCAUGCCGCGUGUCUGAAGAAGGCCUUCGGGUUGUAAAGGACUUUUGUCAGGGAAGAAAAGGCUGUUGCUAAUAUCGACAGCUGAUGACGGUACCUGAAGAAUAAGCACCGGCUAACUACGUGCCAGCAGCCGCGGUAAUACGUAGGGUGCGAGCGUUAAUCGGAAUUACUGGGCGUAAAGCGAGCGCAGACGGUUACUUAAGCAGGAUGUGAAAUCCCCGGGCUCAACCUGGGAACUGCGUUCUGAACUGGGUGACUAGAGUGUGUCAGAGGGAGGUAGAAUUCCACGUGUAGCAGUGAAAUGCGUAGAGAUGUGGAGGAAUACCGAUGGCGAAGGCAGCCUCCUGGGAUAACACUGACGUUCAUGCUCGAAAGCGUGGGUAGCAAACGGG